rnacentral:rRNA from 1 species
AACGAACGCUGGCGGCAUGCCUAACACAUGCAAGUCGAACGAGACCUUCGGGUCUAGUGGCGCACGGGUGCGUAACGCGUGGGAAUCUGCCCCUUGGUUCGGAAUAACAGUUAGAAAUGACUGCUAAUACCGGAUGAUGACGAAAGUCCAAAGAUUUAUCGCCGAGGGAUGAGCCCGCGUAGGAUUAGCUAGUUGGUGAGGUAAAGGCUCACCAAGGCGACGAUCCUUAGCUGGUCUGAGAGGAUGAUCAGCCACACUGGGACUGAGACACGGCCCAGACUCCUACGGGAGGCAGCAGUGGGGAAUAUUGGACAAUGGGCGAAAGCCUGAUCCAGCAAUGCCGCGUGAGUGAUGAAGGCCUUAGGGUCGUAAAGCUCUUUUACCAGGGAUGAUAAUGACAGUACCUGGAGAAUAAGCUCCGGCUAACUCCGUG